rnacentral:miRNA from 11 species
CAGCUGACAUUCAGCUGCCAAU